rnacentral:lncRNA from 1 species
GGCAUAACAUGCUUGUUGGGGGUUGUAGUUCGCUGAUUGGAAUUGUUGCUCAUUGUACGUGGUGGUGCAUGAGUCGUAUCACGAUCGUUUGGGUAGGCAGGCUCCGUGCUCGCGCAUCGAAUUGCUUCCCUGCGAUCCUUUCAGUCCUAGCCCAAGUGAAUGUUUUGUAAGUGGGCAAAUGUCGGGUUCCUGUGUUGCAUACCCACACUAGUGGAAUUCAAUAAUGUUGCUGUCCCAUAUUUCGCCUUUGUGCCUCCUUUGGGGCAUCGGGUGAACAUUGUAGCGGUACCUGUGUUCCAAACAUGCUGUUUCGGCUGUUGUGGCCCAUGGACUGUCGCUCGUGCUAUCGGAUGCGGAAUGCUAUGCGGGCGGGAGG